UCCCAUAGAUGCAAAACCUAGCAUGGGGAGCAGCAAGUAGGAACCCAAAACCAAUCAUGUGCCUUCCCACCAUCAUAUUCACUUGCUCGUCAGUAUCAUCACUUGGCAGGAUGCUCCCGUGAGACGUGGCCCGUUUCUUUGCUCCCAUCGGAGCAGGCAGGCAAAAGCGCAGGACGAAGGAAGGCUCUCCAGUCUCUCUGACUUCUUCCCCCAGCAGCUGAGUUCUUGGGGGACAUGGUAGAAGCAAAAUUUCCCCAAAAAUGAAAAGCACAAAGGUCUCACGGGUUGUGGGAGCAGGAAAGAUUCACCCUUCACUGGCGGCUCUGCAGGAAGCAGCAUGCCCAGAGGGCCCACCUCCAGAAGACACACCGGCCGGAACAAAGGACCAACUCC
rnacentral:lncRNA from 10 species